AAUCGUGACUCGGGUUACCGCGGCUGCUGGCACGGAGUUAGCCGGUGCUUCUUCUGCGAGUAACGUCACAGAUGUAAGGUAUUAACUUACACCCUUUCCUCCUCGCUGAAAGUGCUUUACAACCCGAAGGCCUUCUUCACACACGCGGCAUGGCUGCAUCAGGGUUUCCCCCAUUGUGCAAUAUUCCCCACUGCUGCCUCCCGUAGGAGUCUGGGCCGUGUCUCAGUCCCAGUGUGGCUGAUCAUCCUCUCAGACCAGCUAGGGAUCGUCGCCUAGGUGAGCCUUUACCUCACCUACUAGCUAAUCCCACCUGGGCUUAUCCAUCAGCGCAAGGCCCGAAGGUCCCCCUGCUUUCCCCCGUAGGGCGUAUGCGGUAUUAGCAGUCGUUCCAACUGUUAUCCCCACAAAU
rnacentral:rRNA from 1 species